UGGGGAUAUUGCACAAUGGGGGGAAACCCUGAUGCAGCGACGCCGCGUGGAGGAAGAAGGUUUUCGGAUUGUAAACUCCUGUCGUUAGGGACGAUAAUGACGGUACCUAACAAGAAAGCACCGGCUAACUACGUGCCAGCAGCCGCGGUAAAACGUAGGGUGCAAGCGUUGUCCGGAAUUACUGGGUGUAAAGGGAGCGCAGGCGGACCGGCAAGUUGGAAGUGAAAACUAUGGGCUCAACCCAUAAAUUGCUUUUGAAACUGUCAGGCUUGAGUGCAGGAGAGGAAAGCGGAAUUCCUAGUGUAG
rnacentral:rRNA from 1 species